ACAACAGGUGGAGCCUGCGGUUUAAUCGGACUCAACGCCGGGAAACUCACCAGAUAAGGCAGCUGAAUGAUAGUCGGGCUGAAGACUCUACUUGACUAGCUGAGAGGAGGUGCAUGGCCGUCGUCAGUCGUACUGUGAAGCAUCCUGUUAAGUCAGGCAACGAGCGAGACCCACGCCAACAGUUGCCAGCUCGUCCUCCGGGAUGGUGGGGACACUGUUGGGACCGCCUCUGCUAAAGAGGAGGAAGGAAUGGGGCAACGGUAGGUCAGCAUGCCCCGAAUUAUCUGGGCUACACGCGGGCUACAAUGGGUGGGACAAUGGGCAUCGACACCGAAAGGUGAAGGCAAUCUCCUAAACCCAUCCGUAGUUCGGAUUGUGGGCUGCAACUCGCCCACAUGAAGCUGGAAUCUGUAGUAAUCGUGUCUCAAAAUGGCACGGUGAAUAUGUCCCUGCUCCUU
rnacentral:rRNA from 1 species